rnacentral:rRNA from 1 species
AUGACUCGAGAAGACCCCGCCAGAUCUCGCCCUCGUCAUCAGUUCUGUAUCGCCGUCAUCGUGGCCACGGCCGCCCCUCCGCCGCACCUCCCACCGCUGGCGUGCAACCUGUACCAGGGGUUGUGGACGUACGAUGCGGAGGCGUCCCAGGUGCGACUGUACAGGGAGCCGGAGUGCGAGUUCCUGACGGAGCAGGUGACCUGCAUGCGCAACGGCCGGCGCGAUGACUCGUACCAGCGGUGGCGCUGGCAGCCUUCCUCCUGCGACCACCCCAGGUUCGAUGCGCGGUUGCUGCUGGAGCGGCUGUGGAAGAAGAGGCUGAUGUUCGUGGGGGACUCCCUGAAGUCGAUGGUGUGCCUGGUGUCGUCGGCGAUCCCGUCGCGCGACCAAAAGUCCCUGGCCAAGUUCGUGGGGCCCAACGGCUCUCUCAACGUGUUCAUGGCGGCGGAUUACAACGCGACGGUGGAGUUCUACUGGGAGCUCCAAGCCUCCAACUCGGAUGACCCGCAGGCGCACGGCGUGCUGGACCCCGUCAUCGCCUGGCGGUCCAUUCCCAAGCACGCCCGGCACUAG